rnacentral:rRNA from 1 species
AGUAAUGUAUGGGGAUCUGCCUGAUGGCGGGGGAUAACUACUGGAAACGGUAGCUAAUACCGCAUAAUGUCUGCGGACCAAAGCGGGGGACCUCCGGGCCUCGCGCCAUCAGAUGAGCCCAUAUGGGAUUAGCUAGUAGGUAAGGUAACGGCUUACCUAGGCGACGAUCCCUAGCUGGUCUGAGAGGAUGAUCAGCCACACUGGGACUGAGACACGGCCCAG